rnacentral:rRNA from 1 species
GACGAACGCUGGCGGCGUGGAUUAGGCAUGCAAGUCGAACGGUAUCAUCCUUUCGGGGGUGAGAGAGUGGCGAACUGGUGAGUAACACGUAGGUUAUCUACCCUCAAGACGGGGACAACCCAGGGAAACUUGGGCUAAUACCGGAUGUGAGCAACUUUUUAGUUGUUUGAAAGGUGGCGUAAGCUGUCGCUUGGGGAUGAGCCUGCGUCCUAUUAGUUAGUUGGUGAGGUAACGGCUUACCUAGGCAAUGAUAGGUAGGCGGCCUUAACGGGUGGUCGCCCACACUGGGAUUGAGAUACGGCCCAGACUCCUACGGGAGGCAGCAGUCGAGAAUAGUCUACAAUGGUCGGAAGACUGAUAGUGCGACGCCGCGUGAACGAUGAAUCCCUUCGGGGUGUAAAGUUCUUUUAUAUGUGAGCAGUGCUUCUUAUAUUAACAGUAUGGGGAGAGAGAUAUUAGCAUAUGAAUAAGCAACGGCUAACUCCGUGCCAGCAGCCGCGGUAAGCACG